ACCAUCGUCGCCGCCAUCGAAGCACCCAGCGAUGAAAUCGCACCAUCACCAUCACUUAGCAACAUCGCACUACUUGAUGAAGAGAUCGAAGUCUUUGUGCAUGGAAGUGCAGGGGCAGUGAUCUGAAAUCUCCGAUUGUGGCAUUUUUUCAACGAUUUUCUGUGGCCCAUGGUUUGCGCGACAGCGACAGCGGUAUGGCUCGGAGAUGGCAAGGCUAUGAGCUGCUCUACUUGAGUUUCCUUUUUAUUUCAAUUUUGAUCGUUGGAUGGUGUUUUGUGUGAAAGUUGGAUGGUGUUUGUGUGGUGGCGGACUUGAUGAUUUUGUUGGUGGGAUGGUAGCUGUGGUGUGGUAGUGUUAGAAGGUGGCGGUGAGGUAGUUGAUUGGAGGUGGAGCUGGUGGGUGGUUGGAGCAGGAUGUAGGGAUUGAUUUUUAUGAGGCAUGACGGUUUAAAACUGUCAUACAUUGUCGUCAUGUGGUGGUAGAGGUGACGAAGGUGAGG
rnacentral:lncRNA from 1 species